AUUGAACGCUGGCGGCAGGCUUAACACAUGCAAGUCGAGCGGGGGAAGGUAGCUUGCUACCGGACCUAGCGGCGGACGGGUGAGUAAUGCUUAGGAAUCUGCCUAUUAGUGGGGGACAACAUCUCGAAAGGGAUGCUAAUACCGCAUACGUCCUACGGGAGAAAGCAGGGGAUCUUCGGACCUUGCGCUAAUAGAUGAGCCUAGGUCGGAUUAGCUAGUUGGUGGGGUAAAGGCCUACCAAGGCGACGAUCUGUAGCGGGUCUGAGAGGAUGAUCGGCCACGCUGGGACUGAGACACGGCCCAGACUCCUAAGGGAGGCAGCAGUGGGGAAUAUUGGACAAUGGGGGGAACCCUGAUCCAGCCAUGCCGCGUGUGUGAAGAAGGCCUUAUGGUUGUAAAGCACUUUAAGCGAGGAGGAGGCUACUUUAGUUAAUACCUAGAGAUAGUGGACGUUACUCGCAGAAUAAGCACCGGCUAACUCUGUGCCAGCAGCCGCCGUAA
rnacentral:rRNA from 1 species